UGGAGUCUUGGAGUUUGUUAUCUGACAUUCUAACAUAUUGUUAACAUUCUAACAUAUUGUUCACAUAUUUCUAAACAUUCUAACAUAUUGUUAGAAUGUUUAGAAAAUUUUUUAUGCAGAUGUGAGACCAUCCUGAGCUGUUCCUAUUAUUUGUAAGAAAGCAGUGAUAUUUUCGUAUGCUUCUCUAUGGAAAUGGAUUUAUUUAGAAUUUUCUUCUUUUUUGGUUUGGGCAGAGGAGCGUCACCCUGUGGCCACCAGAAGCACAGGCUUAGGAGGAGUACUUCCAGGCUACCGCCAAUGACCCUUCAAAGCUCAAAGGCUCUUCAGUCAGCUUGUGCAGUAAAAGUUACAGGUAUCAACUCCUGGAUACAUCACACUUGAGUCAAAGCCUGAAAAAGCUGAGACAGCAACCCUUGACAGCUCAGAGGAACAUCUUGGAUACAAAUGUGGAGAAAUAGAAGACCUUGAGCUGAAAAUCAUAAGACAAGUAAAUAAGCAAGGGGUACUAAGAAAGAGAGAAAGAUACCAUGUUGCUG
rnacentral:lncRNA from 1 species